rnacentral:rRNA from 1 species
AAAAGUAAGAAAGGGCACAUGGAGGAUGCCUAGGCUCUCGAAGGCGAAGAAGGACGUGAUAAGCUGCGAAAAUCUACGGAGAGGUGCAAAUAACCCGUGACCCGUAGGUAUCCGAAUGGGGCAACCCGGCGGCGAGUAGCCGUCACACUAUGAAAAUAGUGGGCAAACGCAGGGAACUGAAACAUCUAAGUACCUGCAGGAAAAGAAAACAAAAGUGAUUCCGCCAGUAGUGGCGAGCGAACGCGGAAAAGCCCAAACCGGUGAUGUUUAGGCAUCAUCGGGGUAGAAGGACUGAGACAAAGGGACGAAAGGCAGGAAGCCGAAUGGUCUGGAAAGGCCAAUCGAAGAAGGUGAAAAUCCUGUAAGCGAAUCCAGCCUGAACCCGAUCAGCAUCCUGAGUAGUCCGGGACACGAGAAAUCCUGGAUGAAUCGGCGGGGACCAUCCCGUAAGGCUAAAUACGAUCGAGAGACCGAUAGCGAACCAGUACCGUGAGGGAAAGGUGAAAAGAACCUCGCACAGAGGAGUGAAAAAGACCCUGAAACCAUGUGCCUACAAGCGGUCGGAGCUAGGAAUAGUGACGGCGUGCCUUUUGCAUAAUGAACCUACGAGUUACUGUCAAUGGCAAGGUUAAGUAAUAAGAAUUACGGAGCCGAAGCGAAAGCGAGUCUUCACAGGGCGGAAUAGUCAGUGGCAGUAGACGCGAAACCAAGUGAUCUACCCUUGAGCAGGCUGAAGGUUGGGUAACACCAAUUGGAGGGCCGCACCGGUAAGCGUUGAAAAGCUUUCGGAUGACUUGAGGGUAGGGGUGAAAGGCUAAUCAAACUUGGAGAUAGCUCGUACUCCCCGAAAUGCAUUUAGGUGCAGCCUCGGGGUCGUCUUAUAUCAGGUAGAGCGACUGAUUGGAUGCGAGGGUUUCACCGCCUAUCAAGUCCAGAUAAACUCCGAAUGGGUAUAAGACAUAACCGGGAGUGAGGGCAUGGGUGCUAAGGUCCAUGUCCGAAAGGGCAACAACCCAGAUCACCAGCUAAGGUCCCGAAAUGUAUGUUAAGUUGAAUUAACGAAGUGUUGUCGCAAGGACAGCUAGGAUGUUGGCUUGGAAGCAGCCAUUCAUUUAAAGAGUGCGUAACAGCUCACUAGUCGAGUGGCGAUGCGUGGAUAAUAAUCGGGCAUAAAACAUACUACCGAAGCUGUGGGAUAAAAAAAUAUCGGUAGGGGAGCAUUCCGGAGGCGUAGAAGGCAUGGUUCGAGCCGUGCUGGAGCGUUCGGAAAAGCAAAUGUAGGUAUAAGUAACGAUAAAGGGGGCGGGAACCCCCCUCGCCGAAAGACUAAGGAUUCCUGAUCAACGCUAAUCGGAUCAGGGUAAGUCGGGACCUAAGGUAACGCCGAGCGGCAAGACCGAUGGAAGAACCGGUAAAGAUUCCGGUACUGGAUUAAAGAGUGAAGUGGGGACGCAGGAGUGACACUGCAGCCAUCUGACGGAAUAGGUGGUUAAAGGGUGUAUGUGUAGACAGCUGUAGGCAAAUCCGCAGUUGGAGCAGAACCCGAAAGUAUGGGGAUCCCAUGGAGAACCAAUAAGCAGGUAACCAGACUGCCAAGAAAAACCGCUAAACGCAUCUUUAAUUCACCCGUACCACAAACGGACACACGUAGUCGGGUAGAACAUACUCAGGCGCUCGAGCGAUUCACAGUUAAGGAAUUAGGCAAAAUGACCCUGUAACUUCGGGAUAAAGGGUGCCUGUCAGUGAUGGCAGGCCGCAGAGAAUAGGUCCAGGCAACUGUUUAACAAAAACACAAGGCUGUGCGAAUUAGCAAUAAGAAGUAUACAGUCUGACACCUGCCCGGUGCUGGAAGGUUAAGAGGAGAAGUCAUCGGCAACGAGAAGCUUAGAAUUGAAGCCCCAGUAAACGGCGGCCGUAACUAUAACGGUCCUAAGGUAGCGAAAUUCCUUGUCGGGUAAGUUCCGACCUGCACGAAUGGUGUAAUG